rnacentral:lncRNA from 1 species
CAGACUUGUUGCCAAGAUGUGUGCCCUCGGCAGAUGAUAUCCAUAGACUUCCAUCUCAUGUCGGCAUUCCUGUUAUCAAGACACUCCCUCUGAAGCUAUGGAGUUGCAGAGCUGUUUGCAGGUGGUCCAGCUGACUCUUAUAUGAGGCAAUGACCUUCUCUGCACUGUAACAUACUGGUGCUGGACCCGGCUGUAUGUGAAUUCCUCGCAGACUAGGAGAGUUAGGAGGAGCACUGACUACGUGGUACCCAGCAGCUAGCAAAUUGCAUACCUGCUCUACGUGGGAACCCAGCAGAGCAGGAUGGCCCAGGGCCUCAGCAGAGAGCUUCCUGGGAUCUCGGCCAUAUGGCACACUGCACUGGUUACGCGUGAAGAGGUUCACUUGAGGCUU